AAAGAUGAAAAGAACUUAGAAAAAAGAGUCAAAGAGUGCUUGAAAUUGUCGGGAAGGAAGCGGAUGGGGGUUAGCGAUGCAUCCCGAUCAGAUGUGGAACAAUGACGAGCCGGUCUGUCGAUCGACUUGGGGUGUGGACCAACACGAAUUGAGGAGGUGGCCAAAGCUCAAGCAGUCGACACACCCGUGAAAUGUCGUCGUGUCGAUUGUGGCGAACAACUCGCGCCUUGACAUGCCUCGGCACCUGCGCGCUCAUGGUACUGGUCUGCAGGCUCCUUAUUCAACCCGUCUUAAAACAUGG
rnacentral:rRNA from 1 species